rnacentral:rRNA from 1 species
GCAUCUAAGCAUGAAGCCCCCCUCGAGAUGAGAUUUCCCAACUUCGGUUAUAAGAUCCCUCGAAGAUGACGAGGUAAAUAGGUUCGAGGUGGAAGCGUAGUGAUACGUGGAGCUGACGAAUACUAAUCGAUCGAAGACUUAAUCAAAUU